CCGGGUGAGUAACACGUGACUAACCUACCUUCGAGUGGGGGAUAACCUCGGGAAACCGAGGCUAAUACCGCAUAACAUCGCAAGAUCAAAGCAGCAAUGCGCUUGAAGAGGGGGUCGCGGCUGAUUAGCUAGUUGGCGGGGUAACGGCCCACCAAGGCGAAGAUCGGUAGCCGGCCUGAGAGGGCGCACGGCCACACUGGAACUGAAACACGGUCCAGACUCCUACGGGAGGCAGCAGUGGGGAAUUUUGCGCAAUGGGGGAAACCCUGACGCAGCAACGCCGCGUGGAGGAUGAAGCCCCUUGGGGCGUAAACUCCUUUCGACCAAGACGAUAAUGACGGUACUGGUGGAAGAAGCACCGGCUAACUCUGUGCCAGCAGCCGCGG
rnacentral:rRNA from 1 species